CACGUAGGGGGCGAGCGUUGUCCGGAUUUAUUGGGCGUAAAGAGCUCGUAGGCGGCUCAGUAAGUCAGGUGUGAAAACUCCAGGCUCAACCUGGAGACGCCACUUGAUACUGCUGUGGCUAGAGUCCGGUAGGGGAGCUGGAAUUCCUGGUGUAGCGGCGAAAUGCGCAGAGUAUCAGGAGGAACACCAGUGGCGGAAGGCGGUGCUCUGGGGCCGGAACUGACGC
rnacentral:rRNA from 1 species